AUGGAGAGAUCAUUGGAAAAGGGUUCACAAGAAGAGUACCUGAAAACAGGUAGAUAUUUUGGAAAAUCAUCAAAGGGCAAGUCCAGUACGGAACUAGACUUUCUUAGCCUGCAAUUUCUUCUGCUAUGGACCAUGGCCAAAGUGACAUCACAGUAUGCAGCCCAUCAUGAGAAGAGCUUGCAUCAGAGAAGCGUGUUGUUGACUACUUGUUGUGGUCUGACCGGUAAGCAUUCAUCAGGGCCUGACUCUUCACAGGACAUGGUCCUUGCAACAAAGGAGAGAUGGGACUUCAGGGGUAAGAGCACUGGCCAUGGCCUUCCUAUCCAGUUCACAUCCUCCUUCUCCUAGAACGGACUUCAUUGAAAUUAUGGUGUGCUUUUGGGCUCUGAAGGGCUUUUUAAUUAAAUAAUUUGCUCCUUCAAAUAUUUAUUGACUAUAUCACAGGUAAUUUUUUUUAAUCCAAAUUAUUCAAUAGAUAAUUGAUUUACCUUUUCCCUGAAACUAAGGGUCAGAGAUAUAUAGGGAGAAUUUGAAGUGGUUACUUGUUCUUAUCUGCCCACCAUCUCUUUCCCUUUCCUCUAGCAACUCAGUUUCCCUUCUCUUUUUUUCUCUUUGUGGCACCCAUUUUAUGUGACUUACACAGGGAUCAGCACUUCUGUAAGAAACUGAUUUCUUGGUAGAAAUAAUUCACUAUUCAUGGCUGAUGAGAAAAGGAAAGACUAUUAAUCAGCAACUUCUCCAAGGCUUGGAAAUGCAGAUAGUGAAAAAAUCCUAAUUAUAAUCCUGCCUUUCUACUAGAACAAUCAUAAAAGAUUCCUCAUGUGGAAUGACCCUAUUUGAGAGAUGAAGAACAUUAGAGCCAUGAAUCCCUGGACUGAACUAUGCCUGAAGGAAGAUAUUCCCUUCUGAUUUUUCAGCUUACAUGAACCAAUGAAGUUUUUUGUUUGGCUUCAUCUAGGUUGAGCUUUUUGUUUUUUCCAUCACUUAUAACCAAAUGAGCCCUGACUAUGGCAUAGAAUUUUCCUUGAAAAAGACAUGGAAGAGAGCAGGAGAAAGUAAUACUGUUCUAAGUGGCUAUAUGUGCUGGGCAUAAAGUUAGACACUAUCAUUUUAUUAAUUCAUACAUAUUUUUUAUUCAUGAGGGGAGAGGAGACAAAACUAGGUUAUGUGAUUUGUCUUAUAUCUCACUAUAAAUUAGAGAUUCAGGCCCAAAUUCAAAUGUGACUCCAUAUCCAAUAUACCAUGUUGCCAUCCCAUGUUGCAAUUAUAUUUUAUAUUGAAAUACAAUCACUUAUAUGCAAAUACUAUUUGAAGAAUUUAAGCAACAGUGAGAGGUGUUGCCAUAAAAGAUGACACAACAGAUUAAGCUUGGAGAGAGAUUGGAGUCAGAAGGGAAUUUCCAGAGCAGUCCAGAACUGUCCAGAGUCCUGACCUUGGAUAUCUUUGACCAUCAUCCUUAAGCCAGCUCUCAUUUUUCCAAUACCAUAGCCUUGUUCACUCUCACCCUUAUAACAUCUACUUCUCAGUCUUUCCCAUGGAAAUUUGUGAACUUUGUUAGGCUGACUUAUACAAAGUGGUUUGGAGUCAUCUAGACCUUAUUCAAUUUUUAGUACUUCUGCUUAAUGAAUCAAAUAACUUUGAAUAAGUCACAUAACCUCAGACUUAAUUAAUUAUUAUGAAAAGGGGAUGAACUAGAAGCUGAAGGAACUAGAAUAUAGCAAGAAAUGUCUUCACUUUGGAAUAAGACCUGAAAAAAGGGUUACUGGCAGAAUGACUUUCUGAAAUUAUAUUUGUUGUGAAAAAAUUUUACCUAUUGGUAUUUUCAGCCCUUUAUUAAAAGUUUCUAAUUUCACCUAAGAAAACUUUGCAUUCACGGGGUAAAGUUUUGGCCAGCCUCUUAUAUAGAUUAUGCUCAAGAUAGCCACACAUUUAUAGAAGGAAAUAUUCUAGCCCUGUGGAAUCAAACUGAUUUUGGAUAGCAACUGGCAAAUUCCUCCCUUUCCAUCCUGUUCCCUACUUGGUAAUGCUUUCACUUAAAGAAAAAAAUAGGAGCAAAGCAAAUUGGAUUAUUCCUGAUAACAUAUACGUUUCUUUUUCCCUUGGCAGGGAUGGCAGCAUGCAGCAGCUGGGAUAAAUGGGCAAAAUAUUCCUUCUGAUUUAAACCACAAAUACAGUCAGGUAGAAGAUAUAGAGAUAAUUUUCAUUUUCAAAAUAUAUAUCCAAGUCAGACAUUAGCUUGACAAUGUGAUUUGCACUUUUCAGGUUUUACAUAAAGAAGUUAAAUGCAAGCUCUAUUUCCAUAAGCCUGAGAAAAAAAGCAGAUCCUGAAAGGGCACAAAAUACAUAAAUAUGUAUUUGUACAUAUUUGAGUAAACAUGUACUUGUUCUCCCAUGUAUAAGUCUGCUUUAUCUUUUAAAUCUCCUGCCCUCCUUCUUCUUCUUCUUCUUCUUCCUCUUCCUCUUCCUCUUCCUCUUCCUCUUCCUCUUCCUCUUCUUCUUCUUCUUCUUCUUCUUCUUCUUCUUCUUCUUCUUUUCUUCUUCCUAUUAUUAUUAUUAUUAUUUUAGCAACUUACACUCUUCAAGGAGUUGCUCUUUGGUUCUAAACACAAUUGCUAUUUUUAAGGUCUUAUUAUGCUGGGUUAUUAGCAAUGUGUCUUUUCCCUAAGACUUUACUAUGGAAUAAAAAUGAUAAAACAGAAGCCA
rnacentral:lncRNA from 12 species